ACUGUAUGUGAAAAAAUAUGGUAAAGCUUUUUAUGCUAGUUUAUUUUAAC
rnacentral:pre_miRNA from 1 species